rnacentral:rRNA from 1 species
CUGUGACUAAAUGUUUAACGGCCGCGGUAUCUUAACCGUGCGAAGGUAGCGCAAUCACUUGUCUUUUAAAUGGAGACCUGUAUGAAUGGCAUUACGAGGGCUUAGCUGUCUCCUUUUUCAAGUCAGUGAAAUUGAUCUCCCCGUGCAGAAGCGGGGAUACGCUUAUAAGACGAGAAGACCCUAUGGAGCUUUAGACACGAAGGUAUGUCAUGUUAAGCACCCUAAAUAAAGGACUAAACCGAUUGAACUAUACCCCUAUGUCUUUGGUUGGGGCGACCCCGGGGUAACAAAAAACCCCCGAGCGGACUGGAAGUACUAACUUCUAAAACCAAGAGCUGCAGCUCGAACAAACAGAAUUUCUGACCAAUAAGAUCCGGCAACGCCGAUCAACGGACCGAGUUACCCUAGGGAUAACAGCGCAAUCCCCUUUCAGAGCCCAUAUCGACAAGGGGGUUUACGACCUCGAUGUUGGAUCAGGACAUCCUAAUGGUGCAGCCGCUAUUGAGGGUUCGUUUGUUCAAC